UGUGUGUGUGUCACAGAAUUUGACUGACGACAAAUAAUUGCUGUUUUAUAGUUGUCAUGAAAAUGAUCUACUGUAUAUUUCAUAGUCUGCUGAUACAUAUCUACUGUAUAUUUCAUAGGCUGUUGCUACAAACACAAGUUUAAAAAGCCUAUAUUUUAAGACAACAAUCGUCUUUAAAUAAAAAUAAAAAAAAAGCAGGACACGGUGUACAACUUGAAUACAAAAACAAUCUUAUAUUACUGUGAACAUAUGGUAGGCAACACAGAAACGAGAACUACGCGCAACCGCACUAGACAAAUGCAGGGUUUUAUCUCACGCAACCUAACAAAUAUAAUAUUCACUUAACAAAGUUCUACGCAAUUGUUUUUGUCAGACCAAAAGUAGGGAAACAAUGCGUUUUUUUUCUGCAAUUCAAAGGCGAACUCCACAAAUCCAGCCACGUGCGGAUCUGACGCUUUCGGGGUCGUGUCACGAGAUGAAUGAGCGUCGGAUAUGAAUCGAUUCUUGUGAAGAUUUUUUUUACUAAACCCCCCCCCCCAAAAAACAACUUUCAUUGAGGAUUCAUUAGCUUUUCAGACCUUGAUAACUUGUUCGCAGAUUAACCGGAAUUCACUAGCAGUCGAUCUGCACGAAGACUAGAAAAAUGACAGAAGCCAAGGAUCGACCGUCACAGACAAACAAAUAAGUAACAACAACGUGGAGGCGUUUCUUUAAAUUUUUAAUACAUUUUUUAAAAUAAUAAAUUUGAGUUGCAAUAAAGGAAUUUCAUAAAUAAUAAUAACACUGAAUAUUUAUUACAUGAAUAGGAUUGACCUUGUUAGGGCGUGUUUUGAUGAUGUUUAAAAACAAAAGAGCAUGGUUUUCUCAGAGUGUAAGCAGGCGCGUAUGUGAUUUGUGGGUGGCUGAAGGUGGGAUGAUAACAAACUUGUUCACAGCAGACUAUAUUUUCAGUGAAGAUGCUUGCAACCCUGAUACUCAAAGAUAUAAAAGCCGAGUUUGGAUGCUUUAUUUGGGAGAAAGAGGAUUGUUUAACUACAAAAUAAGUACCCUGCGACAGGUUGACCCUGGUGAAAGGGAAGAAAAACAAAGACUUGCGCAAACAACAAAUAUGUGGAUUGAAAACCUCAGAAAGAGGCAUGACGUGUUGUAAUCUCCAACAAUACCCAGUGAAUAAUAUGGUCACAGGUUACAUCUUUAUCGAUGAAAUGAAGAAAUAUUCAGGGGAGUUGCAUGACUUCACUCCCGGAGAUGCCGGAUAUUCAGUGUACAGAGCUCACUGUGAAAAAUAUAUCUUACCAUCUGGUAAGAACAGAAGGGACAGAAUUCACACCAAUUAAAAUGCACCAGAACUGAUUCUCAGGAACUGUUUGUGUGUUCAAUGUGUAGUCUUGCAGUCUUGGAAAGUUUGUAUACUCACUUUCUGUAUGUUUUAGUUGCAGUACCAAUUAUUUUAACUGAAGUUACUAAAGACAGAUUUAUUUUUAUUUUUUGUUUAAAAUAUUGCAAAGUUUUAGUAAAUUACAUUUGUAAAUCAGUCUGCAUGUAUUAUUUCUUGAUGAUUUUUUAAAAAUCAUACUAAUUAAAUGUUGAUUCAUAUUUA